AAAGAAUCACUUUUUCUAAGUAUGUCGGAGUGAUUGAGCAGAGAGAAAAAUGAAUACCCUAAGCGAACUAGAAAUCUGGAAAGAACCGAAAUAGAGGCAGUGUCUCAUGACACUUUACUUGAGGACUCACCUGAUGAACUGCUGAUCAACUCUAUAGAUUCCUUCACCUAACCAGAACUGACUUCAUCAGAGAGUUAUGAUGGUUAACUCUAUCAGUCUUCUACCUGAAUGCCCCAAGAUAUUGAUGAAGUCAACAAAAACAUUGAGCCUCAGAACACAAGAAAUCUUGGACAAACUGGGAGACAGCUUGUCAGUAUCUAAGGUCUCUGUCUUGUCCUGGAGAUGUCCCCCAUCUCCUCAUCCCCAUCAGCUGAGGAUUUCCAUUUGUUUACAUGGCCCUCCAGGAUCUCUCCUGCACUUCCCCAGACUUGAUCCUGAAGCCUCCAUUUCCCUCCCUAUAGAAAAGAGCAGGUCUCAUGGUGAUAUCAACUUAACACUGCAGUAACAAGAUGCAAUAAGAGGAGACAUAAACUCUCACAUCAAGGCUUGAAGAAGUAACCCAGCAG
rnacentral:lncRNA from 1 species